GCACUUAACCGGUAGAUGCUCUGUCUUGGGGUCUCGUAACACCUCAAAUUGUCAUCCAGGGUUGUAAUCUCAUCUGAGGCUCAGCUGAGGCAUGCUGUAAAUACCUGACUGAUCUUACAGUGAGGAGAAUAUAGGAUGGAAUGGAUAUAAGAGCAAUCCCAUUAAAGACUACCUGUGGCUAUUAGUCACCUUCCAAACAAAAGAUGCUGAGUUCUCUAAAUUGCUUUAUGUGAGAUGUAACACAAAACCACAUGUUCACCACUACAGGAAUAGUGUGGAAAACCAGGUGGUAAUAAGGGUCUGCCAACCAAGACAAGGAACUCCAGAAAACUAUUAUUGAUGAUCACAGCAAAACCUCUGCAGAAAUUUCACAUCUGCUGAAGCCCAUGGCAUUUGCCUAGUACUGCCAAAGGAAAAAAUAAUGUCUUCUGGUCUCCAUUCCACCUUCAAAAUCAUGCUCCAGUGCACCUUGUUGUUAGAACAUAAAUUGUAUUCUAUUCCACAGAGUCAAGAGAAUCUAGAGAAUUUGAUUUCUAAAUUCCCAGCUCCUUCAAAACAGAAGAAACCUUAGAAGGGUUUUGCUGCUUGCAAAAUGAAAUUAAACCUGCACACUUAUUUCUGUUCUCUUAAUAAAGACUUUGAAGAGAUUAA
rnacentral:lncRNA from 1 species